UUGCUGACUUCUUGCUCAGGAACCCGGAUAAUAUGACGUCAUUGCCAUUCAAUCGCCAUUAUCCAUUAUAAUUUUUCAUCGACUGGAGAAUAUCGGACUUAAAGAGAUCCUUAAUCUCUGCACUUAUUCUUGAGAUAAAAUGUCUGCCCCUCCACAGAACCCCGUGGCCGGUCCAGGAGGGCCACCCAUGUCGACAGCCGGAGGCCCAGGGGGGCCACAACCAGCCCAGCCUAGUAAGCGCUUACAGCAAACUCAGGCCCAGGUCGACGAGGUUGUGGAUAUAAUGAGAGUCAACGUUGAUAAAGUGCUAGAGAGGGACCAGAAAAUUUCAGAACUAGAUGACAGAGCAGAUGCACUGCAAGCUGGGGCAUCACAGUUUGAAGCAAGUGCUGGCAAACUGAAGAGAAAAUAUUGGUGGAAGAACUGCAAGAUGUGGUUAAUUCUUAUUGCAAUAAUUGUUAUUAUAAUCAUAAUAAUAGUUGGUAAGUAAAUUUUUUUGUUAAUUGAACAGUUUUUAAUAGCACUAACUGAUAAUCAUGAGGAUCCUUUUGUUUUUCAUUUCAAAAUGCAUGUGAUGUUCACAGAAAUGAAAAUAAGUUGUUGACUGAUGCCAAACACAUUAAAAAUUUUAUUCAAAGUUACAUUAAAAAUGGCAUAUGUCAUGAGUAAUACAAUGUUUGAAAAAAAUGAAAGGAUCCAUCUACCCUCAACUUCAUGCUGGCAUGGGAGAAGGUAACAAUAGUAGCACAUUGUAACAAUUUGUCAUAUCAUUUUAACCAGGACACAAUUACAUGUAUAUAUCUUUUCAAAAAAAACUUAUCAUAAUCAAGGCAUCUUGAAAUUCUUUGUAAUAAUUCUGGUGACUAGAGAAGACUGCAUUUUGAUCUCUUGGAGUUCUCAACCUCUCCAAUUAUUAAAGGACUGUUUUAAUUGUUUCCCUUAUUAAACAAAGCAAAUUACUCUUUUGAUAUCUCAAACUACUAAUCUCUCAAAAUCGUCCUUCCCUUUCAGUAUUAACCAUGUUCUGUUAUGAAUAUUUUAUUAUUCAUUCACAAUUCACUCUUGAUAACUUGAGGUACUGUUGUUAUAAGAGACACUUCAUUAUAUGCAAUGCAAAUCUAUACUUGUGUAUGGUAACCAAUUAUUGUUAAAAUGAUUAUAAUCUAAUAAGGUUAGGCCAAUUCAACUUAAUUAAUAGAUUAUAUAACAAAGAUAAACGAGUCCCCCCCCCCCCCCCCCCCAACAGAUGCGCAUCAUUUAAUGCCAGAUGGAUAUCAAUCUAUGCUAUUUUCACAGAUUAAUUCCAGGUUAAGCUUUAAUUUCAAACAGAAAUAUACCUAACUUCUUCAAGAUUUACACCUGUAAGAAUGCGAGAAAUUAAGAAAACUAUGAUAUAGAUCUAUUUUCUUCACGUGGCUAUACCGGAAAUGUAAACAAGAAGUGUAAAUACCGGGGUCGGACAUGAAAUAUUCCGAAAAUCGCAAGUUUCGCAAAAUAAAAAAAAUCGGGGUGGGCCAAUUUUUGAGGGGCGGGCGGGGAUGAUAAUCUAUCAAUUAAGUUGAAUUGGCCUUAUGUGAUAAUUUAUAAUGAGAUGUCAUUCAUGGGAAUUUCAUCCAAGGGUACUACCCUUCUUUUGCCAAUUAAGAAAUAAAUUUCAUUAUAAUUAUAUUUACAUUUUACUUUCAUUUCUGUCUGAAAUCCUAGUCAUUAAAUAGACGUUCUUAUCGAGAUUAAUAUGCUCAUUGUUCACAAGCAGUGCAUUCAUGAAGAAAUGUCUAUCAUUACAAUCUGUAAAGAUAUCAAGGCGAAAACAUUGGAAAUAUAAAUAUUUUAGUAUGAAAUUUCUGAAGUAAUCAACAGUGAAGUCUGCAAAAGUGUCAUUUUUAUGAAGCUUAAAAGAACAUGAUACAUACUCAGGUUUUAGGUCUACUCAGGGUCAGUCAAGUGACCUCCUUUUGUAAUUGUUUUGUCCAUCAUGUGAACAUAUUCAACUUCUCAACAAAUUUUUACAAGACUGUAUUAUGAUAUUUGGGAUACUAAGGAACAUAGCAUUGUUAAUUUUGUGGCCUCUAUAGGGACAGACCUGUAACUUUCACUUUUGAUGCCAGGCACUAAGGGAAGGAACAGUCACUAUCUAUGUUAAACACGUUUAAUUUGACAAAUCGCUCGGAUUGAUCUUUUUUAUCUAUCAAACUUGGUGCAUAGUAAUAAUGACAGAGGAGAAAAUCUACUAUUCAUGUCUUGUAGGUUGGGAGUGUUGAUUCUAGGGCAGGGUACUGUGAUUCAUCGAGUAAAUAUAAUUUCUUGUCCCUAAAGAGUCGAGAUUUCCAACCAUAGGAUAGGGCUAUAUAGAUCAUUUAGUGAACAAAACAUUGAGUUUCUUGUUCACAUGAGCUGAAAGCUCAAGUGAGCUAUUCUGAGCACCUUUUGUCUGUGUGUGCGUCCAUAGAUCUGUCUAUCCGUCUGUAAACUUUUAAACAUUUUUGAAUUCUUCUCCAGAACCACUAGGCCAAUUUUAAUAAAACUUGGCACAAAUCAUCCUUGGGUAAAGAGGGCUCAAGUUUAUUCAAAGGAAGGGUCAUGCUCCCUACAAAAGGAGAUAAUCAAGAAAAUGCAAAAAUAUGUUGGGGUCAUUUAAAAUUUUUCUCAUGAACCAUUAGGCCAGAAAAAAUGAAGCUUGUGUGAAAGCUUCCUGACAUACUGUACAAACCAUGGCCCAUGGGGAUAGGAUGGGGCCACACUAGGGGCAUCAAAGUUUUACUCAGAAUAUAUAUGAAAAAAUCUUCUCAAGAACAGCAGGGUCAUGAUUGGUCAUAUUAAUAUGCAAGCACCUUCAGGCAGUGGAAAUUUAAGUUUGUUCAAUUCAGGAUCCCCAGGUUAGGAUGGGACCACAUUAGGAGAUCAAAGUUUUAUAUGGGAAUAUACAGGAAAUUGAUUAAACAAAUUCUUUUAAAGUGUACUAGGGACACACUAUUAUAUCAAAAUGCAAACAUUCCUAAGUUGUGUGGGUGCAAGAUUUUAUGCCCUUGAUACUAGAGUACCUUGUGAUUUUGACCUUGUAGUUUUAACUAACUUUUAAGAAAACCUAACAUAGACACUAUCUCGUGAACUAUUUAAGGUAGGGCUUUCAUAUUUUGUAUAUAGAUUCCUUAUUGCAAGACCUUACAUUUCAUACCAUCAUGAUCUUUGACCUUGUGACCUUGCCCUUAGAGUUUGGCAUAUAUUUCAAAACUUUGACAAAACUUAACCUUGCUCAUAACUUUUGAAUGGUGAGUGAUAUAUCUUUCAUGUUUUAUGUAAGAAUUUCUUGUGACAAAAUCUUUCUUUUGGUACCAAAGUUUGACCUUGUAAGUUUGAUCUUGGAUUUUGACCAACUUAUAAGAAAAGUUAACCUAGGCAAUAUCUCAUGAACUUUUAAAGGUAGCUAAGGCCAUCAUAUUUUGUAUAUAGAUUCCUUAUGGCAAGACCUUACAUUUCAUACCAUGAUCAUUGACCUUUUGACCUUGUAUCACGGUUAUGUGAUCUGUAGGGCUAGGUUGGGCCACAAUAUGGGGUCAAAAAUAUUUCAUGGGAAUAAAGAUUUUAAAAAAUCUUUAAAAUACAACAGCUGAACAACAGCUUACUCAAGUGAGCGAUGUUGCCCACUGGCCUCUUGUUUAAAAUUGUCUCCCUUUACUGAAGAUGUAGCAAACAAAGUAAGAGGUACAUACAAGAUUUAGAUGAUGUGGAGGAAUCACCAUUCUGUUUACAAAUCCAUAUGCAGACCUUCCCUUUCACUUUGCAUGUAGGCAACAAAUUUGUAAUAAAGAGACCUUAGAGUUUUGUCUUAACGUAAAGAUGGCUUAUCACAAAAAAAUGAGGCCCAUUCCUUUCUCACAGAGUUUGAAAGAUUGCACCAUCAACAUUUCCUAUAUACAUAGUACAAGGUUUUUGUGAAUGAUGAGUAUUCACAAACUCUGGUGACUGAAAACUAAAUGCAAAGUCAAGUAGAGCAGGGAGGCCUUAACCAAAAUUGUAAAUUUCAUGAUCCCUGGGGUAGGGGUUCUGACUCCAGGAUGGUGCCUAUUGAUUUGGGGGGGGGGGGGGGGGGGUGAAAAUUCUCUCCUGUCCUUUUGCCCACUGUAUUUUACAAAAUGACUAAUAAAAUUAAAUAAAUGUCCACUUCUAGUGCUUCAAAUGUAGUGUAAAAAAAUUUCAUAUAGUGAAAGUGUCUCUUGAAAUUUGUUGAUUUUUGGACCCUUGCAAACUAGAAUGAUGCAUCUUUUGAAUUUUUUUCUGAAGUUCUUGAGAUGUUGAAUUUUUUAGAGUCACAUGUAAUGGCUUUAUACUAAUCUAAUCAUACUUUCUUUUGACAAUGAAGUACAAUUUUGUUUCAUUGCAAUCUCCAGCUUGGGUGGCCUCUACUUAUGGUUAAUCAACAGAAUAUGGGCUGUUGCAGAUCAAAAGAACAAAAGCAGCGGAUAAUUCCACUUCGUGUUUGGAAACAUCAUUUGUAUUUCCUGUUUAGUGCUUAGGAACACACAGCAUGGUCUAUCUCAUUCAAUAUCAUAUGGAUACAAUAUUUCCCAUGUUAAAAUGUACAUCCAGUUUAAGUUCUAGUAAAAUUCAGACUGUGAA